rnacentral:misc_RNA from 1 species
UAUAUGUUUGGUAUGCCAUAUACUUCAGUUUACUCAAAUUCACGUAGUGAACACGAUUUGUAAUGAAGCUGGAGCAGGCAAAUAACCCAUUGGAGAAACAAGUCAAAGAAGGGUCGUAUAAAUUUCCGAACAACCUCUGGAAGAAUGUUAGCAGUGAAGCUAAGGAUCUUAUAACAAAACUGCUUACUGUUGGUCACAGAAAAUGCAUCACGGUUUCAGAAGCUCUGGAACAUCCUUGGAUGAAGGAUAAAGAAAUGAUAGAAAAAGCAGAAAAAAUGAUAAAACCGACCGUGGAUGGAAGAUCAAUGUCUCCGCCCUUAUAAAAGCCUGCAAUAUUUACCUUGCUUGGUAUGUCAGUCCAUCAAA